UACAGAGGUCCCAAGCGUUGUUCGGAUUCACUGGGCGUAAAGGGUGCGUAGGUGGUCAGGUAAGUCGGAUGUGAAAUCUCCGAGCUCAACUCGGAAACUGCAUUGGAAACUACCUGGCUCGAGGGUUGGAGGGGGGACUGGAAUGCUUGGUGUAGCAGUGAAAUGCGUAGAUAUCAAGCGGAAUACCAGUGGCGAAGGCGAGUCCCUGGACAACUCCUGACACUGAUGCACGAAAGCUAGGGGAGCAAACAGG
rnacentral:rRNA from 1 species